AGUUUCAGAGUCUUCUAACAAGUCCAGUUCUCAACCGAACCUUGCAGAAUACCUUGCUGCCUCAUUUAAUGAAACUGUCAAAGAUGCAGCAGGUGUAUGAUCAAAUGGAAAAAACUCCUACUACAAUUGCACAAGCGAAAUUGAAGCUGAUGGAGAAAUCAGAAUUCAUUGCAUUUGUUUAGAAGUAGGAAUGGACAGUUACCAAGCCCAAGCCAGACAGGCAUCUGCUAGAUCAGAUGACGCCCCUUCACCUGUUUGCUCCUUCGGAUAUCCAUGGAUGCCAUAAGGCACUAAAAGUUUACUUGUAAAGGAAAUCUGCAUGCGAAAAUUUAAUCUGGCUUGUUAUGUAGAUUCCAGCAUACGAAAUUUUCCUAGCGUAGCUGGUUGGGUUGUUUCACAAAAUAUGCUUGCAAUUAGAGGAACUCACUCUUGACUGUUGUAUAAAUUUAGUUGCAAUUACACUCAUUGAGGAGGUUCAUUGUGCAAGGAGACCUCCUCGUGCUUUUGAGCUGCAUCUGCAACAUUUACCUACACUUCAUGGUCUCUAAAUUUACAGUAGAAGAACCUGUUCUUUGUUUGUCUUGGUGGCCAGGAUUAAGUUCCACGAGUAUGGUACUCGGGACAAUGCUGCUCAGUUUCUCUGAAAUAACAGUAAAUGUAUUUUGAGUGUGGGAGGCUAAAAUAAAUGCUAUUAAAAAAUUAUUUAGAUUUACCAAAAAAAAAAAGUCAUCUUACUCUCUCAAUUUUUUUUAUGUGUUUGUGUUGUUUUAGAGUAUUUUUUUAAUAAGUAAUGUUUUAGAUUUUUGAUACUCUUAAAUGUUUUUUAUUACGCUUCAAUAAAGGAAAUAUUUUUAAAAUAUUAAUUAAUUUUAUUAUACUUGUAUAUAUAUUUUAAUCGAAGGGAGAUAUAGUUUAUUUAUUUUUUGUUAAAACUUAGUAUUUUUUCCUCUUUUAAAAUUUUAAAAGACAAAUUAAAAAAUCAGAGGUAAUCAUAUGUGCAAAAUUAAUGCGUUUUUAAAAAAGUAUAUAUUAUAAUAAUUUUAUUAAAUAAAAAAAUUGUAUGUUUAAUUUAAAAAAUUCAUACAUUAUUACUAUAUUUAUGAUGAUAAAUUAAAUUAAUAUAUUGUUAAUUUUAUUUUAUAAUGAUUUUUAUGCAGCAUAUUAUAAUAAUUUACUGUGAUGAUAAUAAAACACCAAUUUUAAUUGGUUAUUUAAAAUGAUGUUUAUAAGAUUAUUAUUUAUAAAAAUUAAUAAUAUGUAUAUAUAUAACUGAUGUGUACAAAAUUAAUGUGUUCUUAUUGCCGAGUGAUAAUUAUCCAUCGGCAGUGAGAUCAAAGGGAGUAGAGGGAGAGAGACGUGGCAAAGAGGACAUGCACGAAGUGACGGUGUUCGACCGGCAAUAAUUAUUCAUUACCAAACUUUAAUUAAUUAACACUCCCCUGUGCCCACUGAACUGUGCAUCCAUCAAAAUAUCGGUUUUAUGUAUUGAAAAUAAUUUUUAUUUAUUUUAAACUAUAAUUAUUUUUAAUAAUAUUAAUAAAUUUAUAAAAAAAAUUAUACUGUUAUUUAUAUAAAAUAUUUUUCUUAAAAAAAUGUUUAAAAUUUUAUUAAAAAUUAUUUUUAUUUAUGUUUUUUAAGUGAACAUUAAAAAGAAUUCCGAAAAUAAAAGGCGUUUAAAGGUAUAGCUACCACUUCUGAUGUUGGUUGGAAUGUGGCCCAUGUCUAUAACCAAGCUAAUCAGUUGCCUCAUGGAAAAGUUAUACAAUAUAUCGCAUGAUAUGAUAAGUUGGCAUCAUCCAUUAUAAUAAAAAUAAUUUAAUAAAUCAAUAAUUUUUCUUAAUUACUUAAUAUCUUUUAAUAAUAAAUAUUUCAAUUUUAUUAAUUAACAAUAUCACAUUAUUUAUGCCAGAGCACUAAAUAAUUAUUUGUCUCAUAAUUUAGCACUGUGCCAUUCCCAUCAUUUGGAUAUAUUUUCCCACGAUUUGGAAUAAAAAAUUUUAUACGAAAUUAAUUCAAUUAAUUUUUUUAAUUAUUUUUUAUUUGAAAUAAAGAAUUUUAGUUUUUGUUAGUUUAUAAAAAAAAUUAUUUAAAAAAUAAAAAUUUUAUAUGAUUUUAAAAUUUUUAUUUGAAUUUUUUUUAUAAAAUAGGAUUUUAGCAAAGGACACCAGUUUUGGUUGUAAAAUUGUGAAAUAUUUAUUUUCUUCAAAUAAACAUGCAACAAAAGUCAAAUACUCCCUUUUUGUCAAUAUUUAAAUAAAGUUUUAAGCUUUGUUUUAAUAGAAAUUAAAUUUAUUUAUAAAAUUAUUUUUUUUUCUCUUUUCUCUACAUUUUGUUCCACCAUAUCGUAAAACAUUAAAUAUGUAAAUUUCAUGUAUUAAUCUUUAUAUAUGUCCCAAAAUUAUGUCAUUAGCUUUUCAUUUUUUCAUAUAAUAAGAAUUUUGCAUGAAUUUGAUUUAAUUUUUAUUCUAUCAAAUCUGUUAUUAAUUUAAUUUUAAUUUAGUGAAUCAGAGAUAUUGUGGUCAAAUUAAUAUAAUUUUAAUUUUUUUUGUCUGAAAUAUAAUUUUAAUUAUAUCAUUAUAAGUGAGAUGGGCAUAUAUUGAAAUUACUACAUGAAAAAAAAAAAUCAAUACAGUGGUUUUUUUUUAUUAGCACAUUUCUUUUUCUCUCUCAAAUUAGUGGAUAAAACACUUUCGAAUACUCUAAAUUCAUAUCUUUAAAUGAAAUUAAGAGUGUUUUUGUGAAGUUGAUUUUAUGAUAUCUCUUUUAUAUGUAAGCAUUUAAUUUGUUAAAAAAUAUUUUUUUUCACGAGAAAAUGAAAAAUUGCAUAAUUGCAUAUUAUGCAUCAAAAUAAAAAAUAAAAAAUAACUGUUGAAGAAUAACUCGUAUGAGUAUUUAUAUAUCUAUAUAUCAUUGUAUUAAUUAUUAUUUUUUUCUUUAAUUAAUUAUUAAUUAUUAAUUAUUAUAUUUUUAUUAAUAAAAUAAAUAGUAUUGAAUAAUUAUUAAAAAAAGUUAUUAUGGAUGGCAUUUCUCUGCAUGCUAUUAUAUCAUUAAAUUUUGGGCUGACUUUGAAGUACGGGAACUAUAUGAGCCAUAAAACCUGUCGAGCUCAAGGGCCAGUUCUAUGGGGCCGAAAGCUCGCCUAUAAAGAUUCCGCCAUUGUAUGAUGCCUUUCUGGGCGUGGACUUUCUUCAAACAGUUAUUAGACAUUCCAUUUAAUAGCUGCGGUUUUUUGGGUAUGGGAUUAGUGAAUGGAGCCGGAAAAAUUAGUAAUUUUUAGGGCAAUAAAAAAUUAUAAAAUAAUAACUUUAUUCUCUUCUUUCUUUAUGAAACCUUAUUUCCUAGAAUUUUUUCCUACAAUAAUAUUAAAAUUAAAAAUUAAUAUAAAAAAUUAACUUUUUGAAAUAUUUAUUUUAAAAAAAUCGUAUGUAUGCGAAUAAAAUCUUAUACUAUUUAAAAAAUAUAGAUCAAGUGUGGAGGCAUACCUGUGGGACUCAGCUGGGCUUAUGUUCCUGGACAUGCAUUCUCAGCUUCAACCUUCAUCAACAUGUGGGGCCAAUACAU
rnacentral:lncRNA from 1 species